UACGUAGGCAGCGAGCGUUGUUCGGAGUUACUGGGCGUAAAGCGUGCGUAGGCGGUGGUCCAAGUCUGGUGUGAAAUCUCCCGGCUCAACUGGGAGGGUGCGCCGGAAACUGGGCCGCUGGAGUAUGGGAGAGGCAAGCGGAAUUCCAGGUGUAGCGGUGAAAUGCGUAGAUAUCAGGAGGAACACCAAUUGCGAAGGCAGCUCGCUGGGACGUUACUGACGCUGAGACGCGAAAGCGUGGGGAGCAAACAGG
rnacentral:rRNA from 1 species